rnacentral:rRNA from 2 species
AUCUGGGCGGCGGAAUUCAGAAUGGCCGGCGUGCUCUUGCGGUGCGUCAGUCGUUUGAUAUUUCCGUCGCCAAUUCUGCAGACGUCGCGACCUGUUCGCGGUCGGUCCCUGCUCGGAGGAGCCGCGUUCGAGCUCGUUGUGUGCGCGUUUCGGCGUGUCACACGGCGAAGGCGCGGAUCUCUGGCUGGCCGUCGGACAGUAUGCUUAACGGUGUCCGGUGUCGUCGUCUCGUACGCGCGGCACCGGUACCGGUCAGCGACGAAUUCUUCGGGCCUCUUUCCGACCCGUCUUGAAACACGGACCAAGGAGUCUAACAUGCGCGCGAGUCGCGGGGUAUCGAGCGUACUUCGGUGCGUUCGUUAUGUUGCGAAACCCGUACAUGUUGAAGGCGUAAUGAAAGUGAAUGGGGAAGAUGGUGUUCCGAGUUCACGUUCCGCGAUCGUUGGUAUCGCGGCCGGACACCCGCAUUCCCGGGGCGUCUCAACGGCCCGUCGCUGAUGCGGACAGUCGUCUCUUGGGGCGGCUGUCGGUCGGCGACGAACCGA